GAUGAACGCUGGCGGCGUGCUUAACACAUGCAAGUCGAACGAAGCACUCUAUUUGAUUUUCUUCGGAAAUGAAGAUUUUGUGACUGAGUGGCGGACGGGUGAGUAACGCGUGGGUAACCUGCCUCAUACAGGGGGAUAACAGUUGGAAACGACUGCUAAUACCGCAUAAGCACACAGGAUUGCAUGAUCCGGUGUGAAAAACUCCGGUGGUAUGAGAUGGACCCGCGUCUGAUUAGCCAGUUGGCAGGGUAACGGCCUACCAAAGCGACGAUCAGUAGCCGACCUGAGAGGGUGACCGGCCACAUUGGGACUGAGACACGGCCCAAACUCCUACGGGAGGCAGCAGUGGGGAAUAUUGCACAAUGGGGGAAACCCUGAUGCAGCGACGCCGCGUGAGCGAAGAAGUAUUUCGGUAUGUAAAGCUCUAUCAGCAGGGAAGAAGAAUGACGGUAC
rnacentral:rRNA from 1 species